GUGAAAGUGCUUUGGAGAAAUCAACAAAGGGAAGAGAUUACAUGGGAAGCGGAGGAAGCAAUGAAAUCGAAACACCCUUAUUUGUUCAAAGGUAUAAAAAGAAGUGCAAGGAGUGAAACUGGGACACUAACAAGUAAGUUUUUACAUAUGCAUAAUAUCUAUAUGAUGACAUGAAUAUCAAUUAUGAAUUCGAAUUUGUUUUGGCUAAAUAACUACAUUUACAUUCGAGGACGAAUGUCCUUAAGGGGGGAAGGAUGUAACACCCCGUACUUAAUUACGUGCAUUAGCCAUGGUUAUAUGUGUUGGAGUAUAUGUAUUGAUCAUAAGUUAGGUAUAUAUGAGUUUAAGUAUGAGUAUUGAUUAUUUUGAGAUGAUUUCAAGUGUAUAGUUUGAUUAUAUGUGUAUAGGAAUCGACUUUAUUAAUACCGGAAUUUGCUCGUCGAUGUUCCUAUGCGAAGUUAAUCAAGUUAUCUUUCCAACGAUAUAAAGAUUUCUUAAAACAGAUAAGUAUCGGAUAUAAGAGAGCAUGUUCGAAACUUGAAAACGGUGGACGCAAUGAACAGUAAAUGUGCAGAAAUUUUCUGCACACAAAAGUACUGCAGCCAAACAGAUUUUUAGGUCGACUUUAAAC
rnacentral:lncRNA from 1 species